rnacentral:rRNA from 1 species
UACAGAGGGGGCAAGCGUUAUUCGGAAUUAUUGGGCGUAAAGGGCGCGUAGGCGGCUUUGCAAGUGACGGGUGAAAUCCCUCGGCUUAACCGAGGAACUGCCUGUCAAACUGCAUGGCUUGAGACCAGGAGAGGUGAGUGGAAUUCCCAGUGUAGCGGUGAAAUGCGUAGAUAUUGGGAGGAACACCAGUGGCGAAGGCGGCUCACUGGACUGGUACUGACGCUGAUGCGCGAAAGCGUGGGGAGCAAACAGGG